rnacentral:rRNA from 1 species
GACGAACGCUGGCGGCGUGCCUAAUACAUGCAAGUUGAGCGCUGAAGGUUGGUACUUGUACCAACUGGAUGAGCAGCGAACGGGUGAGUAACGCGUGGGGAAUCUGCCUUUGAGCGGGGGACAACAUUUGGAAACGAAUGCUAAUACCGCAUAAAAACUUUAAACACAAGUUUUAAGUUUGAAAGAUGCAAUUGCAUCACUCAAAGAUGAUCCCGCGUUGUAUUAGCUAGUUGGUGAGGUAAAGGCUCACCAAGGCGAUGAUACAUAGCCGACCUGAGAGGGUGAUCGGCCACAUUGGGACUGAGACACGGCCCAAACUCCUAUGGGAGGCAGCAGUAGGGAAUCUUCGGCAAUGGACGAAAGUCUGACCGAGCAACGCCGCGUGAGUGAAGAAGGUUUUCGGAUCGUAAAACUCUGUUGGUAGAGAAGAACGUUGGUGAGAGUGGAAAGCUCAUCAAGUGACGGUAACUACCCAGAAAGGGACGGCUAACUACGUG